rnacentral:lncRNA from 1 species
CAUGUAUAAAUUAUAAUUAAAUUAAUUAACGUGUAUAAAGUCUAUACAAACUUGUUAAUUCAGUCAUGUUGUCCCAAAUCUUUAAACAUUCCGAGUAUCAGUGCUUAACACUUCGCUUACACAAAUCACUUAUAGGGCAAAUGGAGCAUGUUUGGCUGAGCCUUAAUCAAAGGUACUAAUAGGCUUCUAAACCCACGCCUUAAUCUCAAAUAGGAUUUCUUUUAAGUUACAGUCUUGUACUAGGUUUCACUUUGUCUUGUACUAGGUUUCACUUUUACUAGUUCAUUAAAAGUGGCUUACUGGGAGAGUGUCUUGGAGCUUGGCUCAGCAAUCUCUUCAGGAGCUUAGUCACACCUCAAGGUUCAUAUUAAGGGAAGCAGAGAGGGACAGCCCUCAGCCUAUCAUCCACAGUUCUCUUCAAAAGAAGUAAAGCUUUAUUUCUUUUGAACAAAAUACUUUUUCUUUUUUAGUCUUAGCCAAAGAUGUUUGUGGAAUCC